ACGCAUUAUGUAUGAGGGUUAUCCAGAAAGUAGAUUACGUUUUGGAAUAAAAAAUGAACAAAGUAUAGGAGAAAACAUUUACCAUAUGCAGUUGAAAGCUACACCCAAAUACCACUUCUCAACAUAGUCGCCAUUCAAAUCUAGGUACUUAUCAUAGCGGUGAAAGAGCUUGGCAACUCCUUCCCCACAAAACUCUGCCACUUGCGUCCUCAACCAACUGGUCACCCCUUCCCGCAGCCACGCAUCGUCGCCAAAACGCUGCGUUGAGGAUGCAAUUGGCAGGGCGGACUCGGGGCGGCUAACCCAGGACAAAGGCCUGAAAACAAACAAGUACAAGGCAUAUCACAAAAAUAAAACACAGUGAGAUCAACAUUAUUAAAACCAUACAAUUACAUUAAUCAUAAGAACACAUUAAAAGCAUAAAAUGGGCAAAACAAAAUAAGAUAAGAUAAAAUGAACCACCAGGUUGAUGGAGGGGGAUGGUGUGAAGGGGACAUUGAACUAAAGUGCAGUAGUAUAAAGUGCAGUCCAUUGCAGCCACUGCUUCUUGUCCUUUCAGAGUUCCUUGCGGUACGAAGACGGCCUGGAGGAGACCCCCGAGGGCCCCCCUGGGAAGGAGCGCAGAAAGGGGGAGGACGGCCGGCGCGGGCCGCGGCGCUCCCUUGGAUACGUCUCAGUUUUGGCGGCAUCGGCGGUGGAGAGCGGCAGCUCCCAGCAUCCCCCAGUCGCAGCCAAAGUGGAGAAGGAGGAGUUGCAGACGACCCACAGCAGUGUGUCCAGCGUGUCCGGCCUGCAGCUCUCCUCCCUGUUGGUGGGACCGGUUGAAGGAGGAGGAGGGUGCAGCGGAGGGGAGACCCCCACCAGCCUGGGCGAGAGGAGCGUCUUCAAAGCCCGCUUCCUGGAAAACCUGGCCGCUUCCCAGAAGGAGAAGCUGAUUGCCAUCUCCCAGGGCCGGGCAGAAGUCCUGGCCGAAGCCACUCCAAGCCCCGAGCAGCUUGGACCAGGAAAGUGGAGCGAAGGGGCUGCGCAGGGUGCCAACGAGGAAGAGCCAAGGACGCCGUCACUUGCGGGUUCCUGCGAUGACACAGAGGUCGAGGAGCCACCCCCUGCCGCCCGGUGCCCCCCUCCAUUGAGGACCCCGACUCCUCCUGAGAAGAAGGGCCCCCAAUGCCAACACCAGCAGCAUUCGCCUCCAUGGACGCAGACCCCGCUUUUGCAUGCAGAAGAGAGUCGAGGUCGCCUUCUUGAAGAGGAAAAAGAGGACUCCAGAAGCGGAAGGCGUCCAGUUGCCGGCCGUCCGGGCAACUGAGGGCACAGUUCAGCCUGGAUGCUGAGUCCAGCCUGCAGAGCCUGGAGCGGGACACUGCUGGGCCCCUUCGGGGAAGGACAUCGGGGGUCCCUCUGACCCUCCAACACUGAAGAUUCGUGACCUGGACUUCUCGGACUUUGGGCGAAGAGGAGGACGACGAUGUCACGGAGGAGGAGGAAGAGGCCGAAUACUGUCCUGGGGGGCCC
rnacentral:lncRNA from 1 species